AUAUGCUGUAGGAUUUUGUAAAAGUAAUAUCUUAGAAAGUAUAUAUUACUAUAUACCAAUGUGUUUGAGUAGUACAAGGAGGGAGCCUUUAUUACAUUGAUUAUAAAGCACGGAUUACAUUAGCAAUUUUCUACUGUAUUCUUACAAACUCCCAAGAAAGUAAGGAGUACGUGCACAAUACACAUUGUUCAGGAAAAACGUUGCACACAUGCAGGUUUAACUUCCAAACCUUUCAACUACUGCUACAAUCGAGGAAGUGUGAGGAAAAGCUCCAGCAACUGAUAUUCACUUGGUCUCCAAUAAUUUUCACUUUAAAGUUUAACUAGAGAUUGAACUACAAACAGUUUUUGGACCAAUUCAACUAGAUUGGUUUAAGAACCAAUUUAGGUAAAUCAAUCCAAUCUCCUAACAUGGACAUAUAUAAUUUAAAAGUGUUUUUAGCUUUGCCGAUGCAAGCACGUGUGCGCGCGCGCACGCACACACACACACCCCUACCUUAGAGGGAACACAGGAAGUUUUUUAUACGUCCAAACUGUAAGGUUAGGUAAGCACUUAAAUUAUCCAUCCUGUGCAAUCUCAGUUACUGGCGGUAUUUAAGAACAGGUUAGCCAAACACCUGUCAUGGAUGGUCUAGAUAAAUUUAGUCCUGCCUCUGCGCAGGAGACAGGACAUUUCUAUGAUUCUAAGCUUCCAAUCCUUUUUGUUGCCUUUUACUGACUUUUUUUUUAAAUUUCUGCUACACAGAGGCAGAGAGGAGCUCAGAAAUUAGCACAAUAUUUUAAGAGACAAGGUAUGUGAGGAAAUAUCUUUUAUUGGACCAACUUCUGUUGGUGAGAGAGACACGCUUUUAUUGGGGGCCCUAGACUACGUGGGUUAAACUAGACCGGGGUCAGCAACCUAUGGUAUGUGUGCGAAAGAUGGCAUGUGAGCUAUUUUUGAUGACAUGCGGCACAGGCUGAGCCACUCAGCCUGCCACUGCUCUGGGGUUCCGGCUGCUGGCCCCUUGCCAGCUGGGGUUGCUGCCACAGUCGCACUCACCUUGCUCCCGGGUCGCCAGCGCAGGAUCCAGGCCUCCAGCCCUCCUCAGCCCUACCAGCCACCAGCUCCACUCAUCUCAGCUGCCGAUCUGGGGUUCCAGCCUUGCUCAGCCUGCUUUCUGGUCUGGCGUCCCAACAGGCCACGCCACCCCGGGCUCUACUCUUGGCCUUGGAUCAGUGCUCUGCAGCCUCCCCGCUGUGGCCCACUGUCCCCAGCCUGGGACACUGAGGGUUGCACACGAGGCAAGAGGGGGUGUAGCUCAGCACCCCCAUCUUAAAAUUGCUUAUAUCAGACCACACCGCGUUUGACCUUGUGCCUGCCUUCUAUCGCCACUUUUUUUCCCCCCCCCUGAGAGUUGAUGGGAACAUUUGACAAUAUGGCAGCUCUUAAGAAAGCAAAGCUAGAUGUCUGAUCAUUUCAGCCUGCUUGGACAGAUGUAUUUGGAUAUAUUGAAAAGAAGGACCGUGCUAUUUGUGCUUUCUGUUAUGAAAGUCUUGUUUGUCACACAUCAAGUGUUCAACAACUUCUUGAUGAAGCAGACAAGCCUGAAUCGAUCAAAAAGGCAGUAGCAGUCUAUGAGAAGCAAAGCAGUGUUUUUAAAAACUUAAGUGUAAGUAAAAAUCAAGCGACAGAAGGAAGUUACAAGACUGCACAGUGCAUUGCAAAAAAUGGAAAGCUGUUUACAGAUGGGGACUAUAUAAAAAGUUUUUCUCAGCAGUUUGGAGAUUUUGUGCAAUGAUUUGCCAAAUAAAGAUACAAUCAUAUCUAGAAUAAAAGAACUGCCCAUCUCUGCCAGAACAGUUGAAAGACGCAUACAUGAAAUGGCAGAAAACAUUAAGGAAAAGCAGAUGACUGAAUCAAAAGACAACAGUGUUUAGUGUUGCAGUUGAUGACAGUGUGGAUAUAAAUGACAUUCCACAUUUGGCAGUUGUUGCAAGAUAUCGUGCUUCUGAUGAAAACCAAGAGGAACUUUGUUGCCUAAAAUCCCUGCAUGGCAAAACAAAGGGGGAAGAUAUACUGGAAAGUUUUGUAAGCCAUUUUGAAGAAUGAGGAGUUGACAAAAUAUUUUGUGUGAUAACAGAUGGUGCUCCUGUCAUGGUCGGAAAACAGAAGGGAUUUGUACAGUUUCUUGAAGAUCAAAUUGGCCGCCCGACAGUCAAAUUUCACUAUCAUCCAUCAAGAAAACCUGUGUGCUAAAAAUUUCUAAUUCAAAGCCUAAUAAUGUGAUGAAUACAGUGCUGCAAAUUUCCUUGUUGCUCGAUCUUUGACUCAAUUUCAAGCACUGCUAGAAGAGAUGGACAGUGCUUAGAAUGACAUCCCACUUCACAGCAACAUUCAGUGGCUAAAUCGUGGCAAGGUUUUGGUGCAUUUUGUAAACUUGUUUUUUGUUUUUGUCUUUUUUGUUGAAAAAAAGAACAAAACUACCCCAAACUGGAUGAUGACAAAUGGCUGUGUAAGCUCAUGUUUCUAACUGACAUCACCGCUCACCUAAACGAACCCAACCUUUGUCUCCAGGGUGCAGAGCAAACGGUUCUGGAUCUUUAUAAAGCCUGGAAAGCAUUUGUUGUGAAACUAGCAGUUUUUUCCAGGGAUAUUCAAACUUCUACUUUCUGCUACUUCCAACUCAUAAAA